rnacentral:rRNA from 1 species
AUACGGAGGGUGCAAGCGUUAAUCGGAAUUACUGGGCGUAAAGCGUACGUAGGCGGUUCGUUAAGUUAGAUGUGAAAGCCCCGGGCUUAACCUGGGAACUGCAUUUAAAACUGGCGAACUAGAGUUGAGUAGAGGGGAGUGGAAUUUCAGGUGUAGCGGUGAAAUGCGUAGAGAUCAGAAGGAACACCAGUGGCGAAGGCGGCUCCCUGGACUCAAACUGACGCUGAGGUACGAAAGCGUGGGUAGCAAACGGGAUUAGAAACCCCAGUAGUCC